UCGCCUGUUUAAACAAAAACAUAGCUAAACAAUGUUUAGUGUAUCUGCCCUAUGACAAACGUUAAAUGGCCGUAAGGUAGCAUAAUAAUUAGCUCUUUAAUUGAGAACCUGGAUGAAGACAGCAUUUUCUAGACAUAUUUAAGUUAAUUAUCUGAAAUUAGAAACUCAGUGAAAAUCCUUAGAUUCCUCUCGCAGACGAUAAGACCCUAGAACCUUUACUAAGUUUUACUGGGAUAGUAAAUUUUUAAAAAUAAAAUGACUGCAAUUUUCUUGAACCGUAUUUACGCUUUAAAAAAAAGGUACUCUAGGGAUAACAGCGCCACACUUCUCUGAAGCCCCCAUUUAAAGAAGAAAAGCGACCUCGAUGUUGAAUUAAGUAAUCUAAAGCCGCAGCAGGCCAAUAGAUAAGGUCUGUUCGACCUAACCACUUACAUGAUUUGAGUUAAGAUCGACGUAAGCCAGGUUGGGUUUCUAU
rnacentral:rRNA from 1 species